rnacentral:lncRNA from 1 species
UGAAAGCAGAUGUUUACAAUGGAAUGGAAGUAAAAGCACAGCCCUAGCUGGUUAAUAUCUUGUUGUACUUCUUUGGUAGGAUACUAACAAACAUCCAGUGAUCUGUAAGUCGAUCUGAAGACAUUCAACAUUAUCAUGAGAGCAUAAUUUUUUAAAUGAUUUGUUCAAAGUUUCUACCAAUCUAUCCUGGCAGCAGAGCCACAUGUUAAAGUUAUUGCUGUCUGAGUUACAACAGCUGCCCUGGGAGUCUUGUCUGAACAGCAAGUUAACUGCUGUUCACAGUCAUAUCUGGUCUUUCCCACCCCGAAAUAUACACAAAGGAUUUUUGUCAUUCUUGGCCCUGGUCAGUAGAAGCAACAGAGCACGCCAGAAGAACUCUCCAGGCAGAAUGUCCUUCCACCUGUUUAUGCUGUAAGACAGACUCCCAAAUGUGAGGCGCUGUGGAGAGCUGUUUCUUUGAAUGGCAGCCGAGCGUGCCAGCAGGAUCCUUGGCAGGGAUGCCUAGGCUCUGAAGCUGCCAUUCAGGAGAGCUAAAUAGAGAAGAGAAACUUGAGCAAACCACUUCCUGGAACACUGAGAUCCUGAAUGAGAAAUUUAGAAGCCCCAGAUCCUCUCUAUUCUUAUACCAGCCAAGGUCAGCUUUCCAAGCUCCUGUUUAUUUGAAGCUUUCCCUUUCAAAGGACUGUGGCGAUGGAGGAUGGUAAUAAAAAAGACUUCCUUUUCUUUCAGAAGAUAUUAAAGUUACUGUUGUGCUCCUCUUUAAGGGGUUUUGUUGUUGUUGUUUGUUUGCUUGUUUGUUUUUAAACAUCCUAACGUGAUAGCUACACCACAAAUGAAGUAUGAUCAUGGUGGAGUCACUAGGGGAAAAGUUCUACAUCUCCAGGGACAGGUCUUAAAAGAGGCAGGUGUCACUAUGCUAGCUUGCUUGCAGCAUCCUUUGAUGUCUCUUAACAGAGCUGGGACUAGUUGUCCCAGGAAGAAGAGGGCUUGAGGCCAGAAUAUUGUCACAGGUGAGUACAUCUUACCAGUACAGAGGGUAAAUUGACAGCCAGGAUCUAGCAGAAGUCACAGGCUUUCUCUAACUCUAUGUUCUUUGCCUGGUGCUCCUGGAGUGAUACUUUCUUUUUUUUUAUUGAAUUAUUGAUUCUUAAGUAUUAUUCGUUCAGUGAUUUUGAAACAGAAUAUCAUUUCGUAGGCCACAUGCUUCUAGGUCUUGGCUCUUCUCUUGCCUUGGCUUUCAAGUGCAGGGAUUACGGGCAUGCGCCACCACAUCCUGCUGCACAUUUCAUAUCCAGACUCCUCAGGGUCCUAGCAGGUGACAAGAGCAAUGGCAAGUGUCCGAGGGGGUGGGGUAGACAGAGACUAAGGAUUCCUUCAGUUGUUUUCAGUUCCUCAGGAAGCUUA